ensembl:lncRNA
UCAGCUACUAUACAGUAGGAGAAAUACACGUACAUCAGCUACUAUAUAGUAGGAGAAAUACACGUAUAUCAGCUACUAUAUAGUAGGAGAAAUACACGUAUAUCAGCUACUAUGUAGUAGGAGAAAUACACGUAUAUCAGCUACUAUAUAGUAGGAGAAAUACACGUAUAUCAGCUACUAUAUAGCAGGAGAAAUACACGUAUAUCAGCUACUAUAUAGCAGGAGAAAUACACGUAUAUCAGCUACUAUAUAGCAGGAGAAAUACACGUAUAUCAGCUACUAUAUAGUAGGAGAAAUACACGUACAUCAUCUACUAUAUAGUAGGAGAAAUACACGUACAUCAGCU